rnacentral:tRNA from 1 species
GGUGUAGCUCAGUCGGUUAGAGCGUCUGAUUGUGGUCCAGAAGGUCGUCGGUUCAAUUCCGAUCAC